rnacentral:rRNA from 1 species
CCCUUAGAUGUUCUGGGCCGCACGCGUGUUACAAUCGGGAGUACAACAAGAUUGCAAAUCCUAGUGGAUGAGUGGUUCUUCGAAAUUUUCUGAAGACUGGGAUAGUUGAUUGAAAUUAUUCAACUCGAACGAGGAAUUCCUUGUAAUUGUAAUUCAUUAUAUUGUAAUGAAUACGUCCCUGCCCUUUGUACACACUGCCCGUCGCUCCUACCGAUUGAACGAUCCGGUGAAUUAUUUGGAGUAGCUCUGGAAGUUGCAGAACUUCCUAUGUCACGAAAUUUUGUAAACCUUAUCGUUUAGGGGAAGGAAAAGUCGUAACA